rnacentral:lncRNA from 1 species
GAGGAUGUUAACACUGACCUUUUUACAGAUGUUUCUUUUUACAUUAAUACUUAGUGUUCAUCCAUGGAAAAAUGAGUUGUACUUCUGCUAAUGUCAAGGGCAAGACUCAAAUUCAAAAAACAUCACCACUACCAAUAAACAAAACCAAAGGGAAAGGAUUCCUUAUCAGCAGACAGUUACAGCUCCCACUAGGACACUGCCUUCUCAGCGGCUUCAGUUAUCAGAUAUUCCUGGACAUACUUUCCAAGCCAUGAAAAAUAACUCUCCCUCUCCCCACGGUCUCCCUCUCCCCGCAGUCUCCCUCUCCCCACGGUCUCCCUCUGAUGCCGAGCCGAAGCUGGACUGUACUGCCACCAUCUCAGCUCACUGCAACCUCCCUGCCUGAUUCUCCUGCCUCAGCCUGUCGAGUGCCUGGGAUUGCAGGAGCGCGCCACCACGCCUGACUGGUUUUCCUAUUUUUUUGGUGGAGACGGGGUUUCGCUGUGUUGGCCGGGCUGGUCUCCAGCUCCUAACCGCGAGUGAUCUGCCAGCCUCGGCCUCCUGAGGUGCCGGGAUUGCAGACGGAGUCUCCCUCACUCAGUGCUCAAUGUUGCCCAGGCUGGAGUGCAGUGGCGUGAUCUCGGCUCGCUACAACCUCCACCUCCCAGCCGCCUGCCUUGGCCUCCCAAAGUGCCGAGAUUGCAGCCUCUGCCGGGCCGCCACCCCGUCUGGGAAGUGAGGAGCGUCUCUGCAUGGCCGCCCAUCGUCUGGGAUGUGAGGAGCCCCUCUGCCCGGCCACCCAGUCUGGCAAGUGAGGAGCACCUCUUCCCGGCCGCCAUCCCCUCUAGGAAGUGAGGAGCGUCUCUGCCCGGCCGCCCAUCGUCUGAGAUGUGGGGAGUGCCUCUGCCCCGCCACCCCUUCUGGGAUGUGAGGAGUGCCUCUGCCUGGCCGCCACCCCAUCUGGGAGGUGAGGAGCGUCUCCGCCCGGCCGCCCCGUCUGAGAAGUGAAGAGCCCCUCCGCCCGGCAGCCGCCCCAUGUGUGAAGUGAAGCCCCCCCUCCGCCAGGCAGCCGCCCCGUCCGGGAGGGAGGUGGGGGAUGCCUCUGCCCGGCUGCCCCGUCUGGGAAGUGAGGAGCCCCUCUGCCCAGCAGUCACCCCGUCUGGGAGGUGUACCCAACAGCUCAUUGAGAACGGGCCAUGAUGACGAUGGCGGUUUUGUCGAAUAGAAAAGGGGGAAAUGUGGGGAAAAGAUAGAGAAAUCAGAUUGUUGCUGUGUCUGUGCAGAGGGAAGUAGACGUAGGAGACUCCAUUUUGUUCUGUACUAAGAAAAAUUCUUCUGCCUUGGGAUGCUGUUAAUCUAUAACCUUACCCCCAACCCCCUGCUCUCUGAAACAUGUGCUGUGUCCACUCAGGGUUAAAUGGAUUAAGGGCGGUGCAAGAUGUGCUUUGUUAAACAGAUGCUUGAAGGCAGCAUGCUCGUUAAGAGUCAUCACCACUCCCUAAUCUCAAGUACCCAGGGACACAAACACUGCGGAAGGCCGCAGGGUCCUCUGCCUAGGAAAACCAGAGACCCUUGUUCACUUGUUUAUCUGCUGACCUUCCCUCCACUAUUGUCCUGUGACCCUGCCAAAUCCCCCUCUCGGAGAAACACCCAAGAAUGAUCAAUAAAUACUAAAAAAAUAAAAAAAUAAAAAAAGUA